GACGAAACGCUGGCGGCGUGCUUAACACAUGCAAGUCGAGCGGUAAGGCCCUUUCGGGGGUACACGAGCGGCGAACGGGUGAGUAACACGUGGGUGACCUGCCCUCAGCUCUGGGAUAAGCCUGGGAAACUGGGUCUAAUACUGGAUAUGACUCCACGGUGCAUGUCGUGGGGUGGAAAGCCUUGUGCGGCUGAGGAUGGGCCCGCGGCCUAUCAGCUUGUUGGUGGGGNGAUGGCCUACCAAGGCGACGACGGGUAGCCGGCCUGAGAGGGCGACCGGCCACACUGGGACUGAGACACGGCCCAGACUCCUACGGGAGGCAGCAGUGGGGAAUCUUGCGCAAUGGGCGAAAGCCUGACGCAGCGACGCCGCGUGAGGGAUGACGGCCU
rnacentral:rRNA from 1 species